rnacentral:tRNA from 1 species
AAGGGUGUGGGCAUCAGGAGGCUGGAAUGUCACGCCCGGGGCGUGAUGGUCGCAGGUUCAAGUCCUGCCACUC